rnacentral:rRNA from 1 species
GACGAACGCUGGCGGCGUGCUUAACACAUGCAAGUCGAACGAAGUGGCGAACGGGUGAGUAAUACGUGGGUAACUUGCCCUCCUUUUUGGGAUAAGCCUUGGCAACGGGGUCUAAUACCGCAAUCAGGGGGAUGGGCUCUCGGCCUAUCAGCUUGUUGGUGGGGUGAUGGCCUACCCAUGCGGUGACGGGUAGCCGGCCUGCGAGGGUGACCGGCAACGUGGGGACUGAGAUACGGCGCAGAAUCGUACUGGAGGCAGAAGUGGGGGAUAUUGCACAAUGGGCGAAAGCCUGAUGCAGCGACGGCGCGUGGGGGAUGGAGGCUUUCGGGUGGUAAACCUCUUUCGCUAUCGAGCGGGUAGGUGGAGAAGAAGCGCCGGCUAACUACGUGCCAGCAGCCGCGGUAAUUC